AAGAGUUAGGGUCUCUAUGGCCCGACCUCCCAACCCUAUGUGUAUUGAACCUGUGUUGCUUCGGCGGACCCGUCGUGAGAACGACCGCCGGAGGACUGCCGAGAGGCGUCCUCUGGCCCGCGUCCGUCGAUGGCCUACACCCUUAAAAUUCUGAACGAACCAUGUUUGAAGCCUGAAUUCUUUUGAUAAAUAAAGCAA
rnacentral:misc_RNA from 1 species